GUGACUAAUCACAGUUUAUAGGAGAUAUGUGCUCGGCUGGACUCCUGGUUCACAUCCAUGUCCAGUGCUACCGGCGCCAGUCUAAGUCCGUCCGAGUCUGUUCCUCUGCAGGUUGCUGAUACCCAACGGACCGUGUGUUUGCCACUCUCCCAGCCCGAGCAGUUCUCCUGAGACUCGGGUAAGAUUAAGCCCUUUCUUGCCCAGUGUGAUCUCCGUGAUGGAGAGGGCAGAAGCCUGGGGCACAGCCAAAUGGAGCCGGGGUUCUGAUACAUGUUGCACCUGGGCCUCCUUUGUGGGAGCAACGACUCAGCAGAAAUCGGGUGGAAUGAAGGAGCACUCCUCGAUGCGUUCUUCUAGAGGCUGUCGCCUGUGAUUCAAUACCGCCUCAUCGCAGUGGAACUGCCUACGAACCUGGACUCGGUUCACCCUUGCCUUGAGGAUAAACCAGAGCCUCGCAAUACAGUGAGCCGCCCUACAGAACCUCACGACUGCACACCGCUCUCCAACCAGGUCAGGUUGAUGGGAUGGAGCCCAUGCAAGUUGAGGGGGUCAACGGCUCCCCCGAGGAGCAGCAACGUCACCGGCUAGAGGGUCGAUGUUACUAUUGCAGACGGCUGGGCCACCUCGUGACUUGUUGUCCUGUCAAGCCCGCAUCACCUGCAUUUAGGGUAUCCACAACGGUGAGUUUAAACUACACCACAGGCAGUUUGACACGGUCCCUGCUUCAUGUGACACUAAGUGCAGGCAGACAUUUAUGUACGGCGUUUAUUGAGUCCGGGUCAGACGCAAACCUUCUGAACCCAGCAGUAGUCAACUUAUUGGGCUUGGGAACAUUUAGGACACAGCGUCUCCGGCACACUUAUGCGGCUAACGGCUAAGUUUUUGUGCUGAAUAACCCACCACACUCAGACUAUGGACAUGACAUUCCCUGACGCACAGACCAAACACUUGAGUUUCCACGUCUUCGACACCCUUAACAGUCAUGUCGUUCUGGGGAGCCCUUGGAUCAAGCAGCAUAACCCCGUCAUUGACUGGCCCUCCGGCCAAAUCAAAUCAUGGGGCUCAAAAUGUGGUGUCAGAUCCCUCACAUUCCCCUGAAAAAGGGGACCCGCCGGUCGGUCCGGUAUUACCGCGGGACUCGCAGCGGGAGCUGGACUUGUCUGUAGUGCUUCCCUGCUACUUUGAUUUGAAAGAGGUGUUCUCUGAAGCAAAGGCUAAGUUUCUUCCGCCUCACCGAGCGUAUGACUGUGCCAUUGAAUUGCUGCCUGGCACCUCACACCCAUGGGGGAGACUCUUCUUUCUUACAGGCCCAGAACACCAAGCCAUGAGGGGACUAUGUGGAGGAGUCACUGGCGGAAGGCCUCAUCUGACCCUCGUCUUCACCCACCGGAGCUGGUUUCUUCUUUGUUGAAAAAAAGAACACAACCCUGUGCCCCUGCCUCGACUACUGGGGCCUGAAUGACAUCACGAACGCAUACAACCUGGUGCGCAUUAGGGAGGGGAACGAGUGGAAAACGACCUUUAACAUGCCCACGGGCCACGUCGGGCACUUAGUCAUGCCGUUUGGACUCACCAAUGGACUAGCGACGAGGACUCACAUGUUGGGCACGUCUGGAUCGUGCUGCAGCAUCACCUAUACAUCAAAGCAGAGAAAUGUGAAUUUCACCAGGCCUUCAUCACAUUCCUGGGUUUUGUCCUAGCAGAGGGGGAAAUUCGCAUGGAUCCUGGCAAGAUCGAGGCCGUCCUGCAGUGGCCCACUCCUACGAACCGCAAAGAGCCUGCCAGGCGGCUUUCGGGAACCUUAAGGCCGGCAUUCCCGUCAGCCCUGCACCUCAUCCUGCCUGACCCGAGAGACUGUUUAUCAUCGAGGUGGAUGCAUCGGAUUCUCCUAGAGGACCCCCAGCGAUGAUAGACUACACCCCUGCACCUUUCUCUCCAAGACGCUGACUCUAGCGGAACGCAACAGGUCCCGUUCCUGGUGCUAAUGGACCAUAAGAACCUCAAGUAUCUCAAGGGCGCCAAGAGACAAAAUGCAUGGCAAGCGAGGUGGGAACUCUUUUUUACUCAAUUCCGUUUCACGAUCUCUAUCAGACCAGGGACCAAGAAUGGGAAGCGCGAUGCUCUGUCGCGGAUACACUAGGGGAAUGAACCGAGCUCAGCCACGCCCCGAUUCUCCCCAACACCUGCUUUGUCUCCGUCUUCACUUGGGAGAUCGAGACCAAAGUGAUGGAGGCCCUGAAAAGACUCCCCCAGCCCGGCAGGAUUUGUCGUGCCCCUACUGAGGGGGAAGGUAAUAGACUGUGCCCACACAAAUCGUACCAUGUGUCACCCGGGCAUGGCCAAGACCCAGUCGGUGGUGGGACAAUGCUUUUGGUGGCCAAAACUUAAGGAAGACAUACAAGAGUACGUUAAUGCGUGCCUGGUUUGCACGGCCAAUAAACCCUCUUGACAGUAGCCCACAGGGGAGCUACGUCCGCUGUCUGUUCCCCAGCGUCCAUAUCCCUGGAUUUUGUGACUGGUCUCCUGAUUUCACAAGGUCCCACCGCCGUUCUCUCGGUUGUGGACCAGUUCUUUAAGAUGGUCUACUUCAUCCCCCUGCCAAAGAUCCCCUCUGCUAAACAGACCGCCGAGCUCUUGUUGGACAAGAUAUUCCAAUACCACGGCUUGUUCUUAUAGGAGCCACGGCAAGCCUGACCUUGGACCACCACCCAGAGUCCAACGGCCAGACUGAAUGAGUCAAACAAGACUUGGAAACCGGUCUCCGAUGCCUGGCUUCUCACGACCACAGCACCUGGAGUCGGCAGCUCAGCUGGGUGGAGUACGCACCCAACUCCCUCCCUUCAGCAUCUACAGGUAUGUCGCCCUUCCAUGUAGUACAUGACUACCCUCCUUCUCUCUUCCCGUCUCUAGACACCAACUCCCUGGUGCCAUCAGCGUUGGCCGUAAUAAGACUUUGCAAGCUAACCUGGGAGAAGCCAGAAGAAUGCUGCUACAGAUGGAACGCACCUACAAAGCCGCUCCGGACUGUAAGAGGAGGAGGGCACCAGACUAUGAAAUUGGACAGCGCAUCUGUCUAUCAACAAGAGGGCUCCAACUCCAGAUGGAGUCCCGCAAGCUGGCUCCCAGGUUCAUUGGACCAUUCCCUGUCACUAAGGUGGUUAACCUGGUCGCCGUAUCUUUUCCCAAGGUCGCUGUGGGUCCACGCGAACUUUCAUGUGAGCCUGCUCAAGUCGGCUUGGCGCUUGACCCAUUGGUCCCCCCAUGGUUGUUGGAGGCCUGGUCUAUGCUGUGCACCGGCUCCUGUCGUCCUGCCAUCGGGGAAGGGGAGUCCAGUACCUGUUGGACUGGAAUGGCUACGGCCCUGAAGAAAGGUCUUGGAUCCCGUCCCGCUUCGUGGUCAAUCCCAACCUCAUCAAAGAUUUUCAUGCCUCCCAUCCUGAAGUGCCUGGGGCGUCUGGGGCCAGCCGUUAAGGGGUGGGGUACUGUUGUGGCCCUGCCGGUCCCUGUCCAGGCUGUGCCGAUCCCUGAUGUGCCACACACAUGCAGCAAUCAUCGUUCCAAGUAAUCAUGGCCUAUAUAAAUAAGACCACACGUACGGUCUGGUCUUUGCCAGAUCGCUGCCUCAUGCCUCGUUCCUGCACACUCCUAAUUCCAUUCCUGCUCUCCCGUGUUCCAACCCUGCCUGCCUACUGACGUUCCUUUCAUGCCUGCCAAUUUCAUUACUGCUGGUUCCAUGGACUACCUGUUUGA